rnacentral:tRNA from 1 species
GGAGGAAAUUUAAAUUUCUUUUUUAUGCAAUAAAAUUGUUUUUAUAUAUAAACUAUUCCUC